rnacentral:rRNA from 1 species
CCUACGGGCGGCAGCAGUGAGGAAUAUUGGUCAAUGGACGAGAGUCUGAACCAGCCAAGUAGCGUGAAGGAUGACUGCCCUAUGGGUUGUAAACUUCUUUUAUAUGGGAAUAAAAUGUUCCACGUGUGGGAUUUUGUAUGUACCAUAUGAAUAAGGAUCGGCUAACUCCGUGCCAGCAGCCGCGGUAAUACGGAGGAUCCGAGCGUUAUCCGGAUUUAUUGGGUUUAAAGGGAGCGUAGGUGGAUUGUUAAGUCAGUUGUGAAAGUUUGCGGCGCAACCGUAAAAUUGCAGUUGAAACUGGCAGUCUUGAGUACAGUAGAGGUGGGCGGAAUUCGUGGUGUAGCGGUGAAAUGCUUAGAUAUCACGAAGAACUCCGAUUGCGAAGGCAGUUCACUGGACUGCAACUGACACUGAGGCUCGAAAGUGUGGGUAUCAAACAGGAUUAGAUACCCCAGUAGUC